rnacentral:rRNA from 1 species
UACGGGGGGGGCAAGCGUUGUUCGGAAUUAUUGGGCGGAAAGAGCUCGUAGGCGGUUUGUCACGUCUGCUGUGAAAUCCCGAGGCUCAACCUCGGGCCUGCAGUGGGUACGGGCAGACUGGAGUGCGGUAGGGGAGAAUGGAAUUCCUGGUGUAGCGGUGAAAUGCGCAGAUAUCAGGAAGAACACCCGUGGCGAAGGCGGCUCUCUGGGACGGUACUGACGCUGAGACGCGAAAGCGUGGGGAGCGAACAGG